UGCNUACGNGAGGCAGCAGUGGGGAAUUUUUNNCAAUGGNCGCAAGCNUGAUCUAGCCACCCCNCGUGAGUGAAGAAGGCCUUAGNGUGGUAAANNUCNUUCGCUGGGGAAGAUAAUGACGGUACCCNGUGAAGAAGUCCCGGCUAACUCCGUGCCAGCAGCCGCGGUAAUACGGAGGGGGCNAGCGUUGUUNGGAAUUNCUGGGCGUAAAGCGCGCGUAGGCGGGCUUUUAAGUCAGGGGUGAAAUCCCGGGGCUCUNCCCCGGAACUGCCCUUGAUACUGCNAGUCUUGAGUUCGAGAGAGGUGAGUGGAAUUCCGAGUGUAGAGGUGAAAUUCGUAGAUAUUCGGAGGAACACCAGUGGCGAAGGCGGAUCACUGGCUCGAUACUGACGCUGAGGUGCGAAAGCGUGGGGAGCGAACAGGAUUAGAUACCCUGGUAGUCCACGCCGUAAACGAUGAAUGCCAGACGUCGCGCAGCNCNNNNCGGUGUCGCAGCUAACGCNUAAGC
rnacentral:rRNA from 1 species